UGUCUCCUCAGUGCUCUCUGCUGCCCCCAAGUGGCCGGUAUCUCCCCUAUAAAUACCCGCUCAGAGGGGCAGGCCGGCCUUUAUAAAAUGGCUUCUCUCAGAGCAACUGGUUUCCUUUUGGUGAAAGGCCCAGAAAUACAUGGAUACAAAGAGAAAUAAAGAGCAAAGGAUCUGAGAUUCUCUGUUCACUGAAACAGAUGCCUCGGCCGGUGACUCCCCAUAAAGGAGAGUGAGAGGACGGAGACGGGGGGCGGCACAGUUAUGGGGGGAGCUCGCUGGGUGAGAUCCUACUAAGGCCCCUUCCAAUCACAAUGAAGGAUUCUCUGUCUAAAUUGUAUUUCUGCAAAUUGUAAUGUUGUUAGAACUGUGUGUUUUGGAAAUUUUGUAUUAAACCUUUUUACAAUCUUU